rnacentral:lncRNA from 1 species
AUAUAUAUAUACACACACAUACAUACAUGUAUACAUACAUAUGCAUAUAUACAUACACACACACACAUGGAUUUAACUUAUCCUGUGGUACUCACAAAAAACGCUUCUUUAGUAGACCAGGUUACAAACCCCAAACCAAACUAAUAUAUAUGAGUAUAAGGUAGAGUCCUAUGCAGUUGAAAUUCAGUAAAUCCAAUUAGUAACUAUUGUUUCAUUAGGGGUAUAUAAAAUAUAAUAAGGGUCAGGAGAUAUGAGAUGAAUGUAUUUAUUUUACCAGUUGAUAUCCAUAACAUUAUGAUCAGUUCUUAGCUAAUAUCAUGGAAAAAUAAGUUAUUUUAGUGUAUAAUAAGUAAUGUUAUAAAUUAUGCAGUAUUUAUAUAUAAAUUAUACAGUACUCAAUUGCAGCGUGGGAGGUGUUUGUAAGCCAUUUAAGAAACACACAAAAGCCGUUCGAUUCACUUCAACAUUUAAGUUUAAUUUGUCAAAAUAUUUUCGCCGCUUUAAGACCGCGACCUGUUCACCGACAAAAAUCCGUGCUGCAUCUGAGAAAGUAACAGUUAGUUCGUUAUAUAUAUGUAUGUAUGUAUGUAUGCACGCAUGUAUGUACGUAUGUACAUACGCAUGUGUGUAUGUAUGUAUGUAUGUAUGUGUGUAUAUGCGCGCACACACACACACACACUAUAAACUUAAAGCUAUAAACCUGUAGUGAUGGAUAGGUGUAGACUGACCAUUCAUUACAACAAUAUCAAAUUUCAACCUCCCCCGCCGAAACUAGGAAGUGAUUUACGACCCUUACCCCCACGACAAAACUCUAAAACCUAUUAUCAGCCACUUAUCUCUAUAUCUCAAAACAUUUGUUUUACUAUUACGUCUUAAAGUGACGAAAAUAUUUUGACAAAUUAAACUUAAAUGUUGGAGUGAAUCGAACGGCUUUUGUGUGUUUCUUAAAUGGCUUACAAACACCUCCCAUGCUGCAAUUGUUUUCGUUUCAGCACACGAUCUCAGAUCAAAUCACUUGCUAUGCAAGUACAUCUCCGUAAUUAUACAGUAUUGUUACAAGGUAAUACACGUAAAGAAGGCUAGCUCUUCAGAUCAUAGAAAAUCAUGGUUACAUCCAUUCUUCAUCUCAAUUUAUACAUACAUAAGAAAAAAUAUUUUGAAAAUUACUUUUCGCUUUUGUAUGUAUAUAUUGAGCUGAAGAAUGGAUGUAACCAUAAUUUUCUAUGAUCUGAAGAGCUGGCCUUCUUUUCUAGUAUUCUGUAUUACCUUGUAAAUUGUACAAUAUUAAUAUAUAAUUUAUAACAUAUACUUUAAUAUAGACAUAUAGAAUAAUUUAUUAUGUAUUAAAAUAAAUUAUUUUUCCAUAUUGUUGGCUGUGAAACGAUCAUAAUCUUAUGUAUAACAACUGGUGAAAUACAUACAUCUCAUACCUCCUGAUUUUCUUUGUUAUAUAUAUAUAUAUAUAUAUAUACAUAUAUAUACUCAAAAUAAGCAACAGGAAUAUCUCCGGUAAUUUGGUACGAUCGUUUCACGCUACAUCAUUUUAUUAAGUAUUGUAAGUAUUACAACAGUUUUAAAAUGUUGACCAAUCAUCAGCCAUUUACAGAGGUUUUCCAUUAAUACAUAAUUUUCAGGAUAACACCAUACAAAAUUCUGGUGCAUCUAACUUAAGUACCAUAUUCAUUUGAAUCUAAAUUUUGCUGAACUUAUAUAUAUAUGCAUAUGAGAGGGACAACCUUUAUGCUAGAAGUAGGUCUGCUAUGGUUUUACCACUAAGAAAUUAAUAUCCAAUUUCUCGCCUUCAUUUAAAAUUUAUAUAUAGAUAUAUAUAUAUAUGUAUGUGUGUAUGUGUGUAUAUAUAUAACCUGCAACUGUAUCUGUGCAUCUGACUUCAGCUUAUGCAGUCACAUGUGCAUUCACGCAGGCUGAUCAUGCAACAUAAUUGUCUUUCGCAACCUCAAGAGACUACAGCUAUUAGUAUUAUACAUAUAUAGGUACAUAUAUGUGUAUAUGUUCAUGUAUAUGUGUGUGUACAAUUAUAUAUCUGUGUGUGUAUUUAUAAGAAAUCGUGUGAACAAAUAGAUGUAAGACUACUACUGUUAUGUUUAGAGCUCAAUGUAGAUUAUCCUCAUCCAGUGUUUUUUCUGUAUAGUAGUUAAUUAACUUCUACACAGAGAAGUAUCACCAGUUAAGAGCUACACAGCAAAUGGAAGAGAAAUAAGGAUAAACACAAGUUUUUAUUAUAGUUCCUAUGUGAGUUUCAUCCGUGUGGUUGUUUAGAACCAAGCAAUAGGUUUUCCCAAGUGUAUUGGAGAUACUCGGCCACAAUGGAUCGUCUGGGAACAUUUUAUUGCAUCAAGUUACAGAUUACUAUGUCCCUUGUGUAUAAGUAUAUAUAAAAGUAUAUAUAUAUAUAUAUAUAUAUAUAUAUGUUUUCAAGUACUUUGGUUUUUCUGGGAGCCCCUUUUAAAGUAGAUGGAAUAGCUAAGAUUUUUUUUACUGCUAUUUCUAAACUUCGGUAUGUGGUGAAGCAAAUCUUUACUGAACCCUAAUUAUAAAGUAUUACUUAACCAUAUAUAUAUAUAUAUAUAUAUAUAUAU